rnacentral:rRNA from 1 species
GACGAACGCUGGCGGCGUGCUUAACACAUGCAAGUCGAACGGAAAGGCCCUGCUUUUGUGGGGUGCUCGAGUGGCGAACGGGUGAGUAACACGUGAGUAACCUGCCCUUGACUUUGGGAUAACUUCAGGAAACUGGGGCUAAUACCGGAUAUGAGCUCCUGCUGCAUGGUGGGGGUUGGAAAGUUUCGGCGGUUGGGGAUGGACGCGAGGCCUUGCAGCUUGUUGGUGGGGUAGUGGAUUACCAGGGCAUUGACGGGUCGCCGGCCUGAGAGGGUGACCGGCCACAGUGGGACUGAGGUACGGGCCAGAGUCCUACGGGAGGCAGCAGUGGGGAAUAGUGCACGAUGGGCGGAAGGCUGAUGGAGCAACGCCGCGUGGGGGAGGACGGUCGUCGGGUUGGAAGGCGCUUGCGCGUGUGAAGAAGAGUGAGUGACGGUAGUGGGUAAAGAAGCACCGGCUAACUACGUG